UACGUAGGGGGGCUAGCGUUGUCCGGAAUCAUUGGGCGUAAAGAGCGUGUAGGCGGUCCGGUAAGUCCGUUGUGAAAGUCAAGGGCUCAACCCUUGAAUGCCGGCGGAUACUGUCGGGCUAGAGUCCGGAAGAGGCAAGUGGAAUUCCCCGGUGUAGCGGUGAAAUGCGCAGAUAUCGGGGAGGAACACCUAUGGCGAAGGCAGCUUGCUGGGACGGUACUGACGCUGGAGACGCGAAAAGCGUGGGGGAGCAAACAGG
rnacentral:rRNA from 1 species